rnacentral:rRNA from 1 species
AAUCUGGGGCAAUGGACGCAAGUCUGACGGAACAACGCCGCUUGAAGUAUUUAUGCCUUCGGGUCNUAAAGUUCUUUUGUUAGGGANAAACAAGUACCAUUCUAAUAGGGUGGUACCUCGACGGUACCUAACCAGAAAGCCACGCCUAACCACGUGCCUCGAGCCGCGGUAAUACUUAGGUGGCAAGCGUUUUCCGGAAUUAUUGGGCGUAAAGCGCGCGCAGGCGGUCUGUUAAGUCUGAUGUGAGAGCCCCCGGCUCAACCGGGGAGGGUCAUUUGAAACUGGGAGACUUGAGUGCAGAAGAGGAGAGUGGAAUUCCAUGUGUAGCGGUGAAAUGCGUAGAGAUAUGGAGGAACACCAGUGGCGAAGGCGACUCUCUGGACUUCAACUGACGCUGAGGCACGAUAGCGUGGGGAGCGAAC